rnacentral:rRNA from 1 species
CCUACGGGAGGCAGCAGUGGGGAAUAUUGCACAAUGGGGGAAACCCUGAUGCAGCGACGCCGCGUGAGUGAAGAAGUAUUUCGGUACGUAAAGCUCGAUCAGCAGGGAAGAAAAUGACGGUACCUGACUAAGAAGCCCCGGCUAACGACGAGCCAGCAGCCGCGGUAAUACGUAGGGGGCAAGCGUUAUCCGGAUUUACGGGGUGUAAAGGGAGCGGAGACGGUUCAGGAAGUCUGGAGUGAAAGGCCGGGGCCCAACCCCGGGACUGCUCUGGAAACUCUUGAACUUGAGUGCAGGAGAGGUAAGCGGAAUUCCUCGUGUAGCGGUGACAUGCGUAGAUAUUAGUAGGAACACCAGUGGCGACGGCGGCUUACUGGACUGUAACUGACGUUGAGGCUC